GGGGAAUUUUGGACAAUGGGGGCAACCCUGAUCCAGCAAUGCCGCGUGUGUGAAGAAGGCCUUCGGGUUGUAAAGCACUUUUGUCCGGAAAGAAAUCGCGCUGGCUAAUACCUGGCGUGGAUGACGGUACCGGAAGAAUAAGCACCGGCUAACUACGUGCCAGCAGCCGCGGUAAUACGUAGGGUGCGAGCGUUAAUCGGAAUUACUGGGCGUAAAGCGUGCGCAGGCGGUUUUGUAAGACAGGCGUGAAAUCCCCGGGCUUAACCUGGGAAUGGCGCUUGUGACUGCAAGGCUAGAGUGCGUCAGAGGGGGGUAGAAUUCCACGUGUAGCAGUGAAAUGCGUAGAGAUGUGGAGGAAUACCGAUGGCGAAGGCAGCCCCCUGGGACGAGACUGACGCUCAUGCACGAAAGCGUGGGGAGCAAA
rnacentral:rRNA from 1 species